CUGGGAUUGCCUUAGUAACGGCGAGUGAAGCGGCAAAAGCUCAAAUUUGAAAUCUGGUACCUUUGGUGCCCGAGUUGUAAUUUGGAGAGUACCACUUUGGGACUGUACUUUGCCUAUGUUCCUUGGAACAGGACGUCAUGGAGGGUGAGAAUCCCGUGUGGCGAGGGUGUCAGUUCUUUGUAAAGGGUGCUCGAAGAGUCGAGUUGUUUGGGAAUGCAGCUCUAAGUGGGUGGUAAAUUCCAUCUAAAGCUAAAUACAGGCGAGAGACCGAUAGCGAACAAGUACAGUGAUGGAAAGAUGAAAAGAACUUUGAAAAGAGAGUGAAAAAGUACGUGAAAUUGUUGAAAGGGAAGGGCAUUUGAUCAGACAUGGUGUUUUGCGCCCCUUGCCUCUCGUGGGCUUGGGACUCUCGCAGCUCACUGGGCCAGCAUCGGUUUUGGCGGCCGGAAAAAACCUAGGGAAUGUGGCUCUGCGCCUCGGUGUAGAGUGUUAUAG
rnacentral:rRNA from 1 species